AGGAGAGCGCGGCGGCCGGGGUGGUAGUGGCAGUGUUCAUGUGCUCGGGUCUGAAUCGCCGAGGGAGGAGGCGGUCGAGGAAGAGGUGGCGGCUGUGGCGGUGGUAGUAGCCGUGGCAGAGGAGGCGGGUACGAAUCAGCUGCGGGCGGAGACAUGGCCAACAUCGCGUGCAGCGAAUCAAGCGGGAGUUCAAGGAGGUGCUGAAGAGCGAGGAGACGAGCAAAAUCAAAUUAAAGUAGAUCUUGUAGAUGAGAAUUUUACAGAAUUAAGAGGAGAAAUAGCAGGACCUCCAGACACACCAUAUGAAGGAGAAAGAUAUCAACUAGAGAUAAAAAUACCAGAAACAUACCCAUUUAAUCCCCUUAAGGUCUGGUUUAUCACUAAAAUAUGGCAUCCUAAUAUUAGUUCCGUCACAGGGGCUAUUUGUUUGGAUAUCCUGAAAGAUCAAUGGGCAGCUGCAAUGACUCUCCGCAGGGUACUAUUGUCAUUGCAAGCGCUAUUGGCAGCUGCAGAACCAGAUGAUCCACAGGAUGCCGUAGUAGCAAAUCAGUACAAACAAAAUCCCGAAAUGUUCAAACAGACAGCUCGACUUUGGGCACAUGUGUAUGCUGGAGCACCAGUUUUUUAGUCCAGAAUACACCAAAAAAAUAGAAAACCUAUGUGCUAUGGGCUUUGAUAGGAAUGCAGUAAUAGUGGCCUUGUCUUCAAAAUCAUGGGAUGUAGAGACUGCAACAGAAUUGCUUCUGAGUAACUGAGGCAUAAAGAGCUGCUGAUAUAGUCAAGCUUGCCUCUUCUGGAGGAGCACCAACAUCUGUUAUUUUUAGGAUUCUGCAUAGAUUUCUUCUAAACUGGCAUUCUUGCCUAAUGAUGUUAUCUAGGCACCAUUGGAGACUGAAAAAAAAAAAAUCCCUGCUCUGUAAAUAAAGCUAAUUAAACGUCUGUGUAAAUUUAAAAAGGGGAAAUACUUUAAUUUUUUUUCUUAAUAGUGUAAAAAUUCCUUGAGCUAAGCUAAAACCAUGGAAGAAACAUGCUACUUUAGUGUUUAGCAGUGUACCAAGACUAGCAAGAGUUUGCUUCAGGAUUUUGUUGAAUAAUUAAGAUAAUAUUUUGAGUGUGUCAGGGCCAUUCAAAUUGUUGGUGUUGCAUCACAGCUACCUUAACUGUUUUAACAUGGAUCCUCUGUGCCUGUGAAUUUACUUGCAUGCUUGUACUUGACUUCUUAGGAUGGGUAGCUGGAAAGACCACCAUUUUAAGCAUUUGAGAAUUCUUAAAUAGGAGAUUAACUCAGAAUUGAAGAUGGUGACCUAUUCAGAGCCAUUUUGUCCUUGUCAAUAGACUGGGACCUAAUGUCUUUCCCCUCCCCCCUUAACACACACAGCUAAUAUUCUAAUGGUAAAUUUCUCUGUAUUUGGUGAGGAAAUGUGCUGAGGGACAUUGUGUAUCCCUUGCUUCAUUUUUAGGUUGUAGGUUUGAAAUGUUUUGUCCCAGUUCCUCAAAUACUCUUACAUUUUCCUAAUGUAAAAAUGGAACUGCCAAUUUUAUUUCUCUUGUAAAAAUAGUAAAUACUUGAUGUUACAUUAUUCUCAGGUUUAAUGAAAGAACCCAACUUAGUUUUUCAAUGAAUUUGACACUUAUUUUUAAAAUGAUGACAUUUUUCUUUGAGAACUGGCAAGGAUGCAGUCAACUGUUUCCAAUAAUUUUUAGCCUGAUUUUGGAGUCUAUAGGGAUUGCUUUAUUGGAUAACUUCAAGUCAUUCUUGCUUGCACUUCCCAUAUUGACACAUGAAAGCUGUGUUGGUGUUUUAUUGUACAUACUUCAGAUGCACAUAGGAAUAGAAGUGUGAUAUAAAUCUAGCUUUCUUUAUGAUGUUUCUGAUAAUAUGAGAAUUUAAAACUUUACCUUCUCUUGUACAUAGACUAUUUGUAUUAAAUUUACAUUUCAUUCUAA